GGGAGGCAGCAGUAGGGAAUAUUGGUUAAUGGGCGAAAGCCUGAACCAGCAACGCCGCGUGCACGAUGACGGCCUUCGGGUUGUAAAGUGCUUUUUGGAGGGAAGAGGAAGGACGGUACCUCCAGAAUAAGUCUCGGCUAGCUACGUGCCAGCAGCCGCGGUAAU
rnacentral:rRNA from 1 species